GGAUUUGGCUCAGCGGUAGAGUGUUUGCCUAGCACGUACGAGGCCCUGGGUUCAAUCCUCAGCACCA
rnacentral:tRNA from 1 species